UGAACUUGUACUCUGUGGUUCUCGCCAGUUUCUGAAGCUGUUCUUCUUUCCUAUUUUUAUAAGGUGUGACCAGAAACGUAGUGAAUGCCUCUGCCAAGCGCUUGCCGAAGGAAAAGGAGCUUUUAGAAAUGUUAUAGCGUGUCUUCACCCAGCCUGCUGAUCAGAUCUGGCAUUCCACAUCUUCUGGUUCUUCCCCAAAGUCAAAAUGACCUGGAAAGGUAAAAUUUGGGAUUGACUUGGGACACCGAGGCAGCCACAGCAGUGCAACAAAAGACCCCACGAGAGAGGACUUCCAGAGCUGCUUUGGAAAGGGCCGGGGACGACUGAACCUGUGCUCGAAGCAAGCAGAGAUGUUUCGAGGAGCAUUCCUGGCAAUGUGUCUUUUACUAUAAACAUUUUUCAAUUUAAAUUUUCUUCUGCACUUUUCAAUCGCACUGCAUUAACUUUUAUCUGCAUUAAUUGCUGUGCUCUUUUAUGCUGAAAUGCUAUCUGACUUAUCACGCUUUUGUGAGUAACAUGGCGUCUGACAAAUACUGUUGAAUAAAUGAAUGAACGAAUCAACGGAUGAUUGUUCUGCAGCGUGCAGGUUACGUUUCAUUUUAAACUCCUCACUCUGGGUUCGUUCUCUGGCUUUCUGUAAUACUGUCUGGUGUUCUGCAGAGAUGGGGAAGCAUUCAUCUCUUUGCCCGCCACAGGGAAAUCAGAUUUGUCAUCUUCUUUAUUUGAUGCUCCAAGAAACUCUCCAACAUUUUGCUUUGAUGUAUCCAUUUAAGGUGCUUUCGCUCUCUCCAGGUACCUUGAGUCAUUCUUUGCCUUGCUUCUGCGUCUGCUUCAAAAAUCGGUCCGAGUUAUGCUGCUACCUGGUCUUUGGGACUUGCGUACCACAGGUCAGGAUUGAUUUGCCGCAUUCGAGUAUUUGCAUUUUGGAUUCAUCCUUGGAUGUUGCUUUGUUUUCUUUCGUGGUGAGGUCCCCUUUAAUGCAGGUAGGAUUAGCAUCUUCAAACACAUACAUCUGAAUCCUCCCGAGGCACCUCUGAUCCUCUAGUCGAACGUUUCUGCACUGAGGUACAGUUGCCUUUCAUGUGGGGAGAUUUGUUGGACGAGAAAGCUGCAUGUGUGAUAGUUAACCAUGGUGUCCACAUGAAGAAGGAAUGCCUGACACAUUGGUUUGGUGCAGUGCUGGACGUGUCUGGAUUGAUGAAUUUACUCAAAAUGCGAGCCCCUCCUCAGGUGUGAAGGGCUCCAGCCAAUGGGCUUGCAGCCUGGCUGUAACAACAGGGAAAGGAGGAGGGAGUCUCAUGUCUGCUUCUCCAGGGAACCUCCAGUCUGCACUGUCGCCUUGGAACAUCUAUCCACAGGCUCACACCAAUGCUUCAUCCCUCCAGUUCAGGCUCUUUGGCUUCUUGACACUGACUCUCACAAAACCCUGCAGCGAACUUCACAUCGGCAAUUUUUGACUGGAUCCUCCGCUUCUCUAGAGAUGUUUUGAGCUCUUUCACACCUGACUUUGCAGGCAGCCAUUGUAAGCCUACCUUGUCAAUCCUCUAUCUAUCUAUAUAAAUAUCUAUGUAUAUCUUUUCUAAAUAUAUACAUAUAAAUAUAUAUAACUUUGUUAUACUAAAAUGCUGAAAAAUUAAAAUAGUUGAUUAAAAGAUAAUUAGCAAAAAUAGUUAAAAGGAUAGUUAUUAGCAGUACUGUCAUUCUAUACUGAGCUCGUUACCCAAGUAAGCAAGCACCAACCACGUAGUUAUAGAUUAACUGACUGCGUCAUCAUGCUAUUCUGUAUGCAUCAUUCCCCUCCACUCCAGUAACUUGUUGGCUGUAUCAACCUUUGUUCCACUUUUAAGAGACAAAUGAUGCUGUGUCAACCAUCGUUCCCUUUAUGAGAGACAAAUGUUCCUGGAAUUGGCAGACCGAGGGCUAUGAAUUGGCUAACCACCCACUGUGAAAUGCCUCUGACCUCAAGCAAAGGGGAACAAAGGCCCACCUUGUUUCUGUUUCUCAUCACUAUGUACUUAAUGAUCAAUGAGCUAAUUAUAAAUGAACUAUAAAAGUCAGUCAAAAUUCUAACUCAAUCACACAGCUUUGCAAAUUCCAUCUGCUCUGUGUCACUGGGCCAGCUAAAAUAAAAGCGCUUGUUCUUAAAA